rnacentral:rRNA from 1 species
AUUGAACGCUGGCGGCAUGCUUUACACAUGCAAGUCGAACGGUAACAGGCCGCAAGGUGCUGACGAGUGGCGAACGGGUGAGUAAUGCAUCGGAACGUGCCCAGCCGUGGGGGAUAACUACUCGAAAGAGUAGCUAAUACCGCAUACGAUCUAUGGAUGAAAGCGGGGGACCGUAAGGCCUCGCGCGAUUGGAGCGGCCGAUGUCAGAUUAGGUAGUUGGUGGGGUAAAGGCUCACCAAGCCAACGAUCUGUAGCUGGUCUGAGAGGACGACCAGCCACACUGGGACUGAGACACGGCCCAGACUCCUACGGGAGGCAGCAGUGGGGAAUUUUGGACAAUGGGCGCAAGCCUGAUCCAGCAAUGCCGCGUGCAGGAAGAAGGCCUUCGGGUUGUAAACUGCUUUUGUACGGAACGAAACGGCUCUGGUUAAUACCCGGGGCUAAUGACGGUACCGGAAGAAUAAGCACCGGCUAACUACGUG